AGCGGAUUUGAGCCACAGCGUUUUAUAGUAAAGUCCAACCUCCUGGAUGUUCAUCACAAACAACAGAUGAGACUACAGCAGAUCGACAGGAGACCACAGCAGCUCAACAGGAAGCUACACAGCAGAUCAACAGGAAGCUACACAGCAGAUCAACAGACCACAGCAGCUCAACAGGAGACCACAGCAGCUCAACAGGAGACCACAGCAGCUGAACAGGAGACCACAGCAGCUCAACAGGAGUCCACAGCAGCUCAACAGGAGUCCACAGCAGCUCAACAGGAGUCCACAGCAGCUCAACAGGAGACCACAGCAGCUCAACAGGAGACCACAGCAGCUCAACAGGAGACCACAGCAGCUCAACGGGUGUUGUGGAAUUAUUGUAAUCAGAAGGAGAGACUUUUACAUUUCCUCAAAACAAGUAACUUUAUUAUGUAAUUACUGCAGUAAUGGAGCUGGUUGGUAACCACCCCUGGAGACCACAGCAGUAAACACAAGAAGCAGAGAGCUGCAGCUCAGACAGUAAUGGAGCUGGUUGGUAACCACCCCUGGAGACCACAGCAGUAAACACAAGAAGCAGAGAGCUGCAGCUCAGACAGUAAUGGAGCUGGUUGGUAACCACCCCUGGAGACCACAGCAGUAAACACAAGAAGCAGAGAGCUGCAGCUCAGACAGUAAUGGAGCUGGUUGGUAACCACCCCUGGAGGUGAUCACUGAGAACUCAAUGAGCGGAUUUGAGCCACAGCGUUUUAUAGCAAAGUCCAACCUCCUGGAUGUUCAUCACAAACAACAGAUGAGACUACAGCAGAUCGACAGGAGACCACAGCAGCUCAACAGGAAGCUACACAGCAGAUCAACAGGAAGCUACACAGCAGCUCAACAGGAGACCACAGCAGCUCAACAGGAGACCACAGCAAAUCAACAGGGAGCUACACAGCAGAUCAACAGGAGACCGCAGCAGCUUAACAGGAAGCUACACAGCAGAUCAACAGGAAGUUACACAGCAGAUCAACAGGAAGCGACACAGCAGCUAAACAGGAAGCUACACAGCAGAUCAACAGGACACCACAGCAGCUCAACAGGAGACCACAGCAGAUCAACAGGAAGCUACUAAGCAGCUCAACAGGAGACCACAGAAGCUCAACAGGAGACCACAGCAGCUCAACAGGAAGCUACUAAGCAGCUCAACAGGAGACCACAGAAGCUCAACAGGAGACCACAGCAGCUCAACAGGAAGCUACUAAGCAGCUCAACUGAAGACCACAGAAUCUCAACAGAAGACCACAGCAGAACCAGGGGGUUCUGGCGAUCAACAUGGCUCCACCAAAUACUCCACCAGCGUGUCUAAGUGUGUGUGCGUGUGUGUGUCGGAGUCUGUCUGUGUGUGUGCCUGUGUGUGCAUGUGCCUGUGUGUGUCUGAGUCUGUCUGUGUGUGUGCCUGUGUGUGCAUGUGCCUGUGUGUGUCUGAGUCUGUCUGUGUGUGUGCCUGUGUGUGUGUGUGUGUGCCUGUCUAUGUCUGUGGUGGGGAGCAGGAUAACGUGCUGUGUCAACACACACACACACACACACACACACACACACACACACACUCUAACCAGACAGCCGGGGUAGAAGAAUAAACACAGACACACCCUCAGGAAAACCGCCCCCUCACAUCCUCAUCCUCCUCCCAGAUCGUGUGUCACGCUCCCCGUUGUUGCCCUGGGUGAGGACAGAAUAACUAACAGACCAAGGCUUUUUGUUGUAGCUAAGACUAGCUACUGUGAAAUGUGUUUUGAUAGGGCCUGUGGGCAAUCUGGGCAUCUACAGUGAAACGUUGCCGUGGGUG